AAAAAUAGUUGUGCAUUUCUAUUACAGAUUAUGUAUUCCUUAUGCCAUCCGAUCUUAAACCGAACUUUGCACCCCUCGAUAAUCUGUACGUUAUUCCCU